GAUGAACGCUGGCGGCGUGCUUAACACAUGCAAGUCGAACGAUUAAACUGGCUUCGGCCAGAUAUAGAGUGGCGAACGGGUGAGUAACACGUGACCAACCUGCCCCGCGCUCCGGGACAACCGCUGGAAACGGCGGCUAAUACCGGAUGCUCCGGGGAGGCCCCAUGGCCUCCCCGGGAAAGCCUUAACGGCGCGGGAUGGGGUCGCGGCCCAUUAGGUAGACGGCGGGGUAACGGCCCACCGUGCCCGCGAUGGGUAGCCGGACUGAGAGGUCGACCGGCCACAUUGGGACUGAGAUACGGCCCAGACUCCUACGGGAGGCAGCAGUGGGGAAUUUUGCGCAAUGGGGGCAACCCUGACGCAGCAACGCCGCGUGCGGGACGAAGGCCUUCGGGUUGUAAACCGCUUUCAGCAGGGAAGACUUUGACGGUAC
rnacentral:rRNA from 1 species